rnacentral:lncRNA from 1 species
CAUCUUAAUAAAUUACACCCUUUGAAUCACAAUCAAAGGAAUAAUUUAUCCAAUACUUAUUAUUUCCAUAUUCAAAUUUUUCCGUUUCCUCUACAUGCAUAACAGCAUAUCUGGCAUCUAGAUUUUCCGCACUUCUUCAUACUCUUGGCUUUACCUGUAUCAUGACUAAUUGAUGUGAUUAACAAGAUUAUAUAAUGAGGCCAUUGACUUUGAUAUUCAUCGUUGAUGAAGGGGCACGCCCCAAAACGUUGGAGUAGUAGAAUAAUGUUGUAUAUAGACGCGAUUGUGCUUUUAUAUUGGACAAAGGUAGCUAUGAAUUUCAAUUUAUUAGUUUACUCCAAGCCUGCAUUUUUUAUAACAAUGGUGAUGCCCUUCCGCCAUU